rnacentral:rRNA from 1 species
UACGUAGGGGGCAAGCGUUGUCCGGAUUUACUGGGCGUAAAGAGCGCGCAGGCGGUCGGUCAAGUCAGGUGUGAAAGCCCCCGGCUCAACUGGGGAGGGUGCACGCGAUACUGAUCGACUCGAAGGCAGGAGAGGGUAGUGGAAUUCCCGGUGUAGUGGUGAAAUGCGUAGAUAUCGGGAGGAACACCAGUGGCGAAGGCGACUACCUGGCCUGUUCUUGACGCUGAGGCGCGAAAGCGAGGGGAGCAAA